AUCUCAAACUACUUGAAGUUGCAGGUAGGCGGCAAGUAAGUGAAUCCCCAUAAGCAUAGGCAUAGACAUAGGCAAACUAUGUGAUUGGGGUGAACGAGUGUAGUCAACACCGCUGCAGCUUCAAGUAGGAAGGG
rnacentral:antisense_RNA from 1 species